UGUGUUUUAUAUAUAUACACAUAUAUAUAUUGUGUGUGUGUGGAAAGCAUAAGCUUGCCGAAGAGGCCCAUGACCUCAAAAAAAGAUCAAAUGAAAAACUGCAUUAUUGUAUCCCGUGGUGCUUAUACUAUAGGAUGUUUCCUCCGUCUCCUAAGUAGUAAGCAGUGUCUUGACUAUUUUAGAUUGUGCCUGCUGUGAGCGUCUCUGUGAGUGUGGUGUGUGUGUGGCGUUGCCUGCUCGGUGAGUAUGCACGGUUUCACAGACUCGGAUACUCUCCGGAAAGCUGACACUUCCUCUUGUGAGUAUCUCCAUUUCCCUGCGUAGUUGGUGACAUCAGAUAUUUUCAAUUUUUCUUAUUACAACUUUUUUUUUAGUUGUGGUAAAAUACACACAACGUAAAAUUUAUCAUCUUAAUCAUUUUUAAGUGUACAGUUCAGUAGAGUGAUGUAUUGUCGUGCAACCAAUCUCCAGGGCGUUUUCAUCUGGCAAAACUGAAACUCUGUACCUGCUAAACUCCCCAUUCCCUUCUCCCUCCCUCCCCUGGCAACCACCCUUCUCUGUUUCUGGGAGUUUGACCUUUCUAGGUACCUCAUGUUAAACAGAAUAAUACGGUACUUGCCUUUGGUGACUGGCUUAUUUUACUUGGCAUAAUAUCCUCAAGGUUCAUCUGUGUUACAUGCGUCAAAAUUCUCUUCCUUUUUAGAAGAGCUGAAAUGGGCACCUGGUUGGCUCAGUCAUUGGAGCGUGCAACUUUUGAUCUGAGGUCUACGAGCUUGAGCCCCAUGUUGGGUGUGGAGUUUACUUUAAAAAAAUAAAAGAGCCGGAACGUUCCAUCAGAUGUAUGUAACACAUUUUGUUUACCACUUGUCAAUUAAUACCUGGGUUGCAUCCACCUUUUGGUUGUUGUGAACGAUGCUGCUGGGAACAUGGGUGUGCAAAUACCUUUCGAAACCCUGCUUUUAUUUCUUUUGGAGAUACACCCAGAAGUGGGACUGCUGGAUCAUAUGGUAAUUCUACUUUUAAUUUUUUGAAGAACCUCCAUACUGUUUUCCACCGUGGUUGCACCAGUUUGCAUUCCCACUGGUCUGCAAGAAUCCCAGUUUUCCACAUGGUCCCCAAUACUUGCUAUUUUCUGUUGUUUUAUAUAGCAGCCAUCCUAUUGGGUGUGAGGUGAUGUUUCGUUGUGGUUUUGAUUUGCAUUUGCCUAAUAAUUAGUAAUGUUGAGCAUCUUUUCAUAAGAUUCUUGGCCAUUUGAAUGUCUUGUUUGGGGAAACAUCUUUUCAAGUCCUUCGCCCAUUUUAAAAUCUGGGUCAUUUUUUAUUGUUAUUGACUUGUAGUUCUUAAACUAUAUUUUGAAUAAUAACCCUUUAUCAGAUAGAUGACUUAGAAAUAUUUUCUCCCAUUGUGUGGGCUGCCUUUUCAGUCUGUUGAUCGCGUCCUUUGAUGCCCAGGAGUUUUUAGCCCUCAUGUAGUCCAGUGUAUCUAUUUUUUUACCUUCAUUACCUGUGCCUUUGGUGCCAUGUCCGAGAAGUCAUUGCCAAGUCCAGUGUCAUGAAGUAUUUAUUGCUACUAUUAAAAGGGCUUUGGUAGUCUUGAUCCAUGUUUUUGAACUUACUGGUUAGUCCGUUUUACCAUUUGGUUUACCAUCUGCCUUUUACCUCUUUGCCCGCUUACUGUGUGAAAUGCCUUACUGAGUUCUAUAAUGGUCGUAGAUUUUUUGUUCCGUUCAGAAGGCAAGCGUUUGCCAGUUAUGAGUGUCAAACGUACUCCUUUUUUCCCCUUCUGUUGUUGGUACAAAAAGUAUCUAUCACACAAGGACUUUUAAAACAUCCAUCUACCAAGUCUAAUAAUAAUUAGUAAGUCUGUUCAUUUUGCUUCUGAUUACGUUUUCUUCAGUAGCUAAAUGUCUGUGUACUCUUACAGUUUCCUGAGUACUCUUCACCGUUUAAGGAGUUAUGAAUCCAAUUUAGGGGUGAAUCUAAAUUGAUGAGUUAUACUCAUAAAGUGGAAAUGUCAAACUUUUACUGACUGAAUUCUACUUUGCUUUGCUCCAGGUCAGUAUUAGUGUCUUGCAAUUAAUUACCUGCCUGAAUCUGUUUCUGGAAUUUUUAGCUGCUAGUUUCUGUUGUUUCUAGCCAAAUACAGCAAAUUUUAAUGACCAUCACUGUCACUAUGUUUGAAAACCUAGUAUGUGGAGGCUUUGCUGCUCCCUUUAAGGCAAGAGUAUUCUCUCCUUGUUGGAACUUGAGUACACAGAACUGGGUUAAUCUUUGGUUUGUGACAUGACAUGGCUCUCUUUUAUUUGCUUCCUUGGUGUUUUUAAUAAUGUGGUAAGCAUUUCUGAGACUUGUGUUCAGUGUCAAACCUAGGACGUUAGACAGUAGCUUUUUCUACCCGGGUGGUCAUCUUCUCCCCCUGCCCCCAUCUCUAGGCCAAUGUAAUCGCCAUCCCGAAUACUGGAUUUAUCUUUACUUGCUUUCUUUUCAUAUAACUUAAAAAAAAAAAAAAAAAAUCCACCUAAGUGUGUUUGUUAAGGAAGCUCCAGGCAUUCACAGCCCCUCCAGGACAGCACAGCACAGCAGCUGUGCCAUCUGGGAUUCUCCAUCUUGUCAGGUGGGUUGAGAGUUUCUGCUGCCAAAGUAGAGUAAUGUGCUAUGGAAUUGAGUUAAAACUGAUCGCUCUCUACAACUGCUUGUCGGUACCAGAAUUGAGCAUCAGAUAGUGUCUGACUUAUUUAGACCUAGCAAGACUCUGAGUCCACUUCUGGCGUUCUUUCUCCUAAGCAGGCUGAAAAACAAACUAUUCUAGGACAGCAGUUGUGACAUCGGCCGAAAGUGGCUUUUAAUUAUAUCUUAUUUGUUUGGUCUUGUUGAAAUCUUCUUACCUGGCAUCUGUCUGUCAGCAUUUCUAAUCCCAAGUGGAAAAGGCGUGCAUCCGGGUGGGGCACAGUCUGCUCCCUCUGCUGCCUGCCUGCCGCACCCAGCCUUAGCUUGUUCCCCCUUUAAGUACACGCUUCCCCUCAGAGGCCCCCCCGAGGGCCAGGAGCACAGGUGUGAGCCCUGCUCUGUCUCUUACUCGACUAAUAGGGUCAUGGGGAGCUUCACGCUGGGAACCACAAGGCCCAGAUCUAUCCCCGGCAGCCUUAUUCUUGCCCCCUUCGCUUCUGGGGUAAGCGGUAGCUGUCCCCUUGACUCCUCUGUCGAUGUAACAGCUGUGGGACCAGCUGUCUGUGUGUCAGAGCGAGGCCCUGCCUCUGCCUCCUGCUGACCCCAAGGGCAGAGGCUCUGCCGGUUUUCUUCCAGUUUGUUUCAAGAUAUAAAAAAUGUUCAGAGUGAUAUGUGCACAUAUAAAAAAUUCAAACCCUGUAAAGGGGAUGUAGCGACAUCCUUCUCUAACCCCAGCCUCCCUUCCCACAGAGGCAGCAGUUGUGGCCAGUUGCUUGAAUUUCUUUCUGGAUAAUCCUGUGUGCCUAUUUCACCACAGAGGCCCCCGGCACACCACAUCCGGUCUCGCACUUUGGACUGUUCAGUUAACGGGCUUCUGGGUUUUAUGACUCAGGUUGUGAAGUGCCCCCCCCAACCCCCGCCCCAUUCCAGACGCAGUGGUUCCCUGCAGCCCGGCCUUGGCCGUUUGGGGUUUUAUCUUUGCUGAGUGGAAGGUAAACUCCAGUGUCGCCGUGGUUCAGUUUCCACUUUGUGAUUCUGUAAAGCUGAGUGAAUAUUUUGUUGGCCGACGUGUGUGACUGCUUGUGCCUCAGUUAUGUGUUCAUCUCCUGAGAACCCUUCACUGGAGGACGUUUACCCUCGAAUGACUACAAAACAUUGUUUAAGUUUGUAGUUUGCCCUUUUUUCCUUUUUUUUAAGUUGACGCGCGAUGCUGCCGCGUUGCUUUCAAGUUGUAAUUUGCCUUUUAAAUUUACUUGUUGCAUCUUGCCAGUGGUUUUCAGUUUUGUUGUCAAGUCUGUUAUUUUGAUCGUGGUUUCAUACUUUGAUGUGCUGCUGUAUUUCCCACUGGCUUCCUUGUGCUUUCAUUUUUGACCUUUGACAUAACUCUUUAAUCCGUCUAGAAGUCGUGUUGGUGUUUGUACAGUGUGAGGUAAGAAUCCAAUUAGUUCAAGAUGGCUGAUUUCCCCAGCGCCGCUUCCUGGAUGAUGCCUUCUCUACUGAUCUGAAGCUUGUUAGUUAUGUACUAAGUACCUUUAAUGUAAUUGAGUAUGUUUCUGAACUUUCUAGUUUGUUCCGCCGAUCUAUCCUUCCUCCGCCAGUCCAGUGUUUUCAUUAUGUUAGCUUUAUCACAUCUGAUUGUAAAACGUGGUAAUACAAGCCCCUGGCAUUCUUUUUUAAGGUACUCUGAUUUUUACUGGAAUUGCAUUAUGUUUAUCGAUAUGUUAUGACGUUGAGACUUUCCAUUUAGGAACAGGCCCCCCCUGUUCGUUUAGGAUUGGAUAAUUUUCGUGUCCCUCAGAAAUUUUAGCCCUCUCUUAGGCAAGUUAUGGACAUUUAUGAAGUUCGCUCCUGGAUAUGUUAUAUUCUGUGUUGUGGUUAGAUAUAUUUUUCCAUUAAAAUUCCUGGUUGUGGUAGUAUAUGAUAAGACUUGUUUUAUAGGUAUACAUUAUUUUGGACAUAAAUAGGCUGAUUAUUAAGGCCAAUUGGAAGACAAUAUAGCAUCCAGGCUAAAAGGGCUUUUGAGUCAGAUGACUCUGCUCUCAUGCUUGACUUGCCCCUUAUUUAUUUUCUGUGCCACGAGCUCUCUGCCUCAGUUUCUCCAUUUGUAAGAAGGGAUAAUCAUAUCUACUAAGAAGUGGGAUGAGGGUUUAAUGAAAUAAAGAGGCAUUGUGCUCAGUGCUCUGCUGACACGGAGUGAGCACUGUUCUACUGGAGUUUCAGAGUAAGAGUCAUCUUUAAUGGUUCUGUCAUCCAUGUGAUUCAUUCCGUUUUUCAUGCUUCUCUCCUGUCUUGCUGGCAUUGGCUGUAAUCACUAAUGAGCUGUGAGCAUCGUGGUCUUGUUCCCACCCAAUCCGCUGGUGGGAUCUGUCGGCGGAUAGAGGGGUCAGACUGGCCCUGGCAGGUGUGCACAAGCCCCAGCAGCACACUUCAGGCUGCCCAUUGGUUGUCAUCCUGACGGUCCUCAGCUGGAGUGAUCUGCUGACAGACCUCUUCAAAUUUUAAUAUUCACGUAUUUGUUUUAUCAUGUAUUUGAAAAUUACUGGUUUUCUAUUUAUGGUGGUAAUACAACAUUUCCUUUUAAGAGAAAUAUAUUUGUUCUCUUUUUAAUUGAAAUGUCCCCCCACAUACUGUAAGAUUCAUGCUGUCAACGUGUACAAUUCAGUGGGUUUUAGUAUGUUCACCGUGUUUUGCCAACCAUCACUGUCACCCCAUUUCCAGGACUUUUUCAUUUUCUCAAACAGAAGCCUGAUCCCCAUAAAACAGUAACUUCCCAUCCGUCCCUCCCUCCUCCCGGUUCCCCCCCCCCACUUUUUUUCCUGCAUUUUCAUUAUUGUAACUGAUCAAAGUCUGUUUGCAAUAGAUGUGAAUGUGAGUUAAGUACAUGUGACAUUGAUUUGGCAGAGGCAACCUAGUGAUUGGCAAGAACACAGCAGGAGCAGCUUCUGCAGGUUGGUGUUCCUCCUCCUGGUUCCUGAUAACCUUUACUAUACUUUCUGUCUAUUUGCCUGUUCUAGGUUCCUCCUACGAACGGAAUCAUACAUUUGUCCUUUUGUGUCCGUCCUACUUCAGUUAGCACAGCGUUUGCAAGUUUCAUUCAUGUUGCAGCAUGUAACAAUACUUGAUUCCUUUGUGAGGCUGAAUAUGCCCUUGGUGUGGCUACACCACAUUUUGUUGAUCCAGUCAUUUGUUGGACAUUUGGGUUGUUUCCACUCAUUUGGCUAUUAUGAAUAAUACCUCUAUGCACUUUUUAUGUGAAUUUGUUUUAAAUUGUCUUUGGUGUGUGCCUCAGAGUGGAAGUGCUGGGUCAGAUAACUCUGUGCUUAACUUUUUGAGGAUCCGCAAAACUGUCUCCCAGUGUAGCUGCACCAUUUUACAUUCUCGCCAUUAAUUGAUGAGGUUUCUGAUUUCUCCACACCCUCAACCCUUGUUCUUAUUGGCUGUGUGUGUGUGUGUGUGUGUGUGGUUUUUAUAUAAGCUCUAUGCCCAGUGUAGGAUUUGAACUCCCAACCCAGGGUCGCAUGCUCAUCCACCCAAGCCAGCCAGGCACCCCUCUGGCUUUUUGAUCAUAGCCAUCCUAAUGGGUGUGACGUGGUAUGUCCUGUGAUUUUGAUUUGCACUUCUCUCAUGACUAACAGUGUCUAGCACCUUUCCGUGUGCUUGUUGGCCAUGUGUAGAUCUUCUCUAGAGAACUGUCUAUACUGAUCUUUUGUCCCCUUUUUAAUUGAGUGUUUAUCUUUUCAUUAUUGAAUUUUAAGAGUUCUUUGUGUAUUCUGGAUACUAGAGCCUUAUCAUGUUUUUCCCUUCUGGGGGUCGUGUUUCCACUUUCUUGGUAGUGUUCUUUGACAUAAAAUAAAUUUAUAUGUCGAAAGUAACUUGAUUUAAGGAAAAAAAAAACCAGGACUGGUUAUACGGCAAAAAAUGUCCAGGUGUCGUGUGAAUGAUUAAGGUUUGGGGGCAGAGAAAAGAGUGUUCCGAUCCUGUAGCGUGAAGUGGGUGAGCACUCCUUCCUGUGCGACGUCAGUGGGUUCCACCUGGUGCGUGUGCCGGGGUCGUCUCGUUGGAGUGCUUGGAAGGUUUGGUUUUGUUUUUUAUGUCCAGUAAUAGAUAAUGGAUUUAUUCAGAUGUCUUUUCUGCAUUCCCCACACACACACACCCCCGCCGCUGCCCCCCCCCCAAGCAUCGAGUUUUUCUCCUUUCAUUCUCUCAUGAUUAAUUACAUCACGGAAUAUUAUGGCCUCCUGUGAUUUCUGAAACACACCGGUCCCAAGCCUGGAGCUCUAUUCCGCCAACACAGAAAUGAAUCAGAAGGUCCACUUCAGCUUCAGGACGUUGUCAGGCAGGCUUCCAUAUCAGGACCUCAGGAAAGGCAGAGACGCUUUUAAGAGCAGCAGCAAAGAGCAAACCUCUGAGCUGGACAACUGACUUUCUGUUCCCUGCUUUGCCACUUAGCACGUGAUGUUGGCCACAUUUCUAAAAUCCUUGAAGCCGGUUUCCUUAAUAAAAUGGGGACAAAAAUAAAGUCAGAACAUAACUCGUGGUUUGCGUGAGGCUGAGAUGAGGGGUCACACAGCAGAGGUGCUGGGAGUGAGGGGCCCUGCUGUUUCCGGUCCCUGUCAGCCUCCCCACUUUGCACAGUUGACUGGACACAGAGUGUUGGGUAAUGCCGCCCGGGCUGCCACUUCCUUUUGGAGAUUCCAAGUUCUUUGCGAACUUCCAAUGUCUUCCUGGGUUAUAGGCUAGUCCGUGUUUCUAUUUCAUUGUAAGUCAAUUUGUUUGAAUUAAGGUUUCUAAGAAAAUUGCCUUCGUAAAUACGUAUUAGUGUAGAGCCUUUUUUUUUUUUUUUUUUGCAUUUUAAUAUCCUUGUCAAUGGUUUUUGGGGGUGGAAGGAAAAAAAAUAGUUUUCACUUUUUAUUCCUAGUUUAUCUUUGACAGACUUUCGAGAAAUCUAUUUUACUGGUUUUUUUCAAAGAAGCAGCUUUAGAGAGAAUACCCAGUUCUGUUUUCAUGUUGUAAUUUAUUAAUUUCUGCUUUUACUUCAUUAAUUCUUGUGCUUUCCUUGGAUGUUGUUUGUCCCUCUUUUUCCAGUCUUGCCUUACGUGCUUAGUGCGGAAGGCAGGGGAGGAAGAAGCGCGGUCAGGGAGGCUGUGGCAGGAGGAGGUCCUGCUCUAGCCCCACUGUGACCAUGGACAGAGCCCUCCAAUGCUGACGCGUGGACCCUCCGUAAGGGAGGCAACUGCUGCCCCCUCCCCGCCCCCGCCACCCCCGCCGCCAGAGGAUGCAUGGAGGCCAGUUAGUGGCCAGGGCCCAGCGGGAGCAUGGGGGGCGUUCCGCAGGGGGGAACGGCCAACUGCUGUUGCUUCGGUCCACAGUUCGGUUUCUAACGAUCACUCCAACCAACAGCCUCCUCGGUGUCCAGAUACUCAGCUGGUCUCCACAGACACAGGCAGGUGAGAUGAAUGGCCUCGCCUUCCCGUGGUGCCCCCGUUCUCCUGGGGGACAGGUCUCCGAUGGUGACUAGAUAGAGGGUGAGUUAACACAGUGCGGCAACAGCCACCGGGGAUGGAGUGCAGCCUGAGGGUGAAGACAGAGCCCUAACCCAGGGGAGACCUUUGAGCUGUCACUUGACAGGUAGGUGAGGCUGUAAGGAAGAGCAUUCCUGGCUGAGAAAAGGGCGAUAGCAAAGCCUCUGAGCUGUGAAGGAAACUGGCUGGAGCUGGGAGUGCAGGUGGGGCUGGCCGGGCCACAGUGGGGACUCAGGAGGUGCCCCAUGGUGCACCUGAAGGCUCCCCGUCUGUAUUUGGGAAAAGAGUUUAUUGUCCUUAUUUCCUAUUUGCUUUUGGUUUUAGUUCUGAUGUAUCAUUUGAACAUAGUUAUUUAAAGAGUGCGCUUUAAAUUUCCCGAGGUUUUGGAAGGGUUGUGUUUUGUUUUUUUUAACUAUUAUAAUCAAUUUCUAUUUUAAUGAAUGGUUACCUGAGGAAGUGCCCAGUACAGUUUCUGCCUUUUUGGAUCUGUGGCUCCCUUUCUUCACUGCUUAAGGUAUGAUUAUUUUUAUAAAUGCUCCAUGGCGUUUGAGAAAGUAUUCUUUGUCACAUUCCAUACGUUGGGUCCGUCCCUCUCGACGGUUUGGGGUCCAGUCCAAAGCCACGACGUCCCUAUGUAAUGCGAAGUGUGAUUCCAUUUUCCCCACCACUCGUUCUCUCCACUGCCCCCAAGACUGCUCACCAGUUUUGUUCUGUGUGUUUCGCUGCAGUGUAUUUGGUGCGUGGAGUCCGGCCCUGCCGCGUGGAGUGCCGGGUGCUGACCGGGCAGACAGGAGCCCACCCCCUCCCCACCCCCACCUCACUGUCUCCUCCUUUGCGGGUUGAAUGAAGUACCUGUGUGUUGGAAUUUUCAACUGUUGAACCUUGAAACCAUUUUUCCAUCUCUCGUCUGUUUCCUGCCCGUGUCGUGUCUUCGUUGUAUACAGUAGUGAUCGGGAGCCAUUUUGCUUCUUCCACUUCAGGCUACCUUGUAGACACAGUGACUCGUGUUGAAAUAAUCCACCUGUUCUGGCUGAGGCUCUCUGGGGUGUUCCAGGCUGUGAGCCUGCCACUGUCACCUCGUGGGCUUCUGCGUGGGCUGGUUCCAGCAUUUUGUAAUCCUGAAUUACACGGGCACAGGCGUCUUUGGGCAAAUCCUCUUUUAUACCUCCAGGCUGCUCUUGGUUGUCCCCCCGGCCGGAGGCAAGGGGCGGGAAUUGCUUGCUUCUCUUCGCUCACUGCCCUGGGUCCAGAUGUUUGGAAAGGGCCGGUUAUGCACUCCUGUUUUGCCCACUGCCCUGCCAACACAAUUUUUUCUGUUUUUGACUGUGAGUGUGGAGUGCUUCCUUGAAGCCAUUUUAUUUUAUUUUUAUUUUAUUUUUCCCUUGAAGCCAUUUUAAUUUUCACUGGGGACACGUUUCCUGUGUAGGUCACUCUCUGAGUUUCCUUAAGCAGACACCUUGAGGGUCUUGUCACUAACAUGUUGAAUUAAUUCUUUGCUCAUUUUACAGACUGUGUUUUGACUACCCCCCCCCCCCCAUUUUUUAAGGCCUUUUAAGGUCAGAGCUUUGUUCCUCCGUCAGGUUGGGACUUAGAUGGCUAUGCACGGUUCCUCUUUCCUGCUGCAGUAAGUAAGUGCCUGCCUUUUGUGGUGUGUUUGGGGGCUGAAGCCUGGAGAGAGGCCAGGAGGGGCGAUGGGCAAGCGAGGAGGGUGGGGGAGAGGUGAGGGAGAUGGGUGAGGGGGAUGGAAGUCUGGCUCUCAGCUCACCCAGUGGUCCCCAGACCUUGGUGUGUGUGUGUGUGUGUGUGUGUGUGUGUGUGUGAGAGAGAGAGAGAGAGAGAGAGAGAAAGAGAGAGAGAGACAGACAGACACAAGACAAGACUGGCUGUGCUUGCAGAGCAUCCGUCAGGACUAGUAGAGAGGACCCGUUGUCAGCCUGGCCUGGUGUGACCCUGAACAGGUCUCAGUCCUCUCUGAGCCUCACCUUCUCCUCUGGACUCCACUGGAGAAGGGCUACUGGGCUCCUCCGGGCUGGUGGGAGGGGUCCAGGAGCCCUCCCCUCGUAAGAGGCCAGGACAGGACUCCUGGAUGAGGACCGCAGAGCUUGGGGGUGCUCCCACUGGACCCGCCGUGGGCCCACAGGAGGCAGAGCCCAGCCUGGGAGCAGCAGGUGCUUGG